CUGAGAGGAUGACCAGCCACACUGGAACUGAGACACGGUCCAGACUCCUACGGGAGGCAGCAGUGGGGAAUAUUGCACAAUGGGCGCAAGCCUGAUGCAGCCAUGCCGCGUGUAUGAAGAAGGCCUUCGGGUUGUAAAGUACUUUCAGCGGGGAGGAAGGGAGUAAAGUUAAUACCUUUGCUCAUUGACGUUACCCGCAGAAGAAGCACCGGCUAACUCCGUGCCAGCAGCCGCGGUAAUACGGAGGGUGCAAGCGUUAAUCGGAAUUACUGGGCGUAAAGCGCACGCAGGCGGUUUGUUAAGUCAGAUGUGAAAUCCCCGGGCUCAACCUGGGAACUGCAUCUGAUACUGGCAAGCUUGAGUCUCGUAGAGGGGGGUAGAAUUCCAGGUGUAGCGGUGAAAUGCGUAGAGAUCUGGAGGAAUACCGGUGGCGAAGGCGGCCCCCUGGACGAAGACUGACGCUCAGGUGCGAAAGCGUGGGGAGCAAACAGGAUUAGAUACCCUG
rnacentral:rRNA from 1 species